AUGAGCUUGUGUGUUUGCAUUGAUUUCUUUUUGUACACGUCUGUUUGUAUGUAUUUGGUUGAAGUUACAAACAUGAUUGUGAAAUUGUUGCAGUCUUUGCAGGGAAGCUGUUAUGUUAACGUAGGGGCUGUUAUGGUUUUUUUUUGUAUUAUUCCCGAACAGGUUAGUGAAGUGAACUUGAAUGGAUACAUGGCUGCUGGCAGGAUUUUGCUUAAUAGUUAUGAAUUAUGUGAGAUGGAAUUAGCUAAAUUGGGGGAGGCUCGAAGGUGA